UACGUAGGUGGCGAGCGUUGUCCGGAUUUACUGGGCGUAAAGAGCGCGCAGGCGGUCGUACAAGUCGCGUGUGAAAGCCCCCGGCUCAACUGGGGAGGGUCAUUCGAUACUGAUCGACUGGAAGGCAGGAGAGGGAAGCGGAAUUCCCGGUGUAGUGGUGAAAUGCGUAGAUAUCGGGAGGAACACCAGUGGCGAAGGCGGCUUCCUGGCCUGUUCUUGACGCUGAGGCGCGAAAGCUAGGGGAGCGAACAGG
rnacentral:rRNA from 1 species